rnacentral:lncRNA from 1 species
AUGCCUUGUGGAAUUGCCCUGCAGGAACUGGAGAACAUAGCAUUGUGGCUUUGCAGUAAAAGGUACAUUUGGACCCUGGAUCUGAUCAGGGAGGAUGGCCAUGGAACAGUGAGAAUGAUGGGAAACUACCACACCCACAGCCACAUCAGGAAAACCCACCUGCAGAACCAGAAGAGCCACAGGUCACAUCCAAGUUGGCUGUGCCUCCAACUGUCUGUAUCAGAUGGAUAAUGGGGAUGACUCCUCCCUGUGCCUGGAUCAUAGAGGCUGGCACAGGCCAUGGGGAAGCUGCUAACCGUCUGGCAUCCUCCUGCAAAUAAGAUCUUCAUGAAAAUCCAGAGCCCUUUCAUGCCUCAAGAGUCCAGUUAAGUGUUAUUUUCAAUUUCCUCCUGUAUUUCAUCAAUAAAAAAGGAACAAUAAAUGACCA